UUGUAUGGUUUUAUGCACUAACACUGCCUUUUAAUUAAUUCAGAUAUUACGAAUUGGAUUCGCAACAUCGAACAGCAUGGGGAUAAUGUCAAAAAGAUCCUGGUAGGAAACAAGGCUGAUAUGGAUGAAAGUAGAAGGGUUUUUCAUUCCAAUUUUCAGUUGAGGGACAAAGGGAGAUGAAGAAUGCAAUAUUAACUUAAUAAUUUUCUCAAAGAAUAUAUUUUAGUCUCAUCUAUUGGAUUGAUUCUCUAGGACCAGACAAAUAUGGCAAAUUCGCACCGCAGUGGAUUGAUUAAAAGAUCAAGUGAUGGUGCAAAUCUGAAUCGCAUGGGUGUGACCAAUACUGUGGUCUGCAACUAUGAUGGAAAGGAGGAAUGAUUUUUGCAAAUGAGAUGAAGGUGCCAAGGCUCAAGUCACUCACUGCAAAUCUGAAUCGCAUGGGUGUGACCAAUACUGUGGUCUGCAACUAUGAUGGAAAGGAGCUACCUAAAGUUUUGGGUAUCAACGCUGUUGAUAGAGUGUUAUUGGAUGCUCCUUGUAGUGGGACAGGGGUAAGUAGCUGCAUUAUGUGACAAUAGAUUUCUCUGUUUAGCCAAUUACCUUGUUUUUCUCUUGAGUAAACUAAAUCAGUUGUAUUUUGCAGGUUAUAUCAAAAGAUGAGUCUGUUAAAAUUACUAAAAGCUUAGAUGAGUCGAUAAAAGCUUAGAUGAGUCUUUAUAUUAGGAAUUUUUUAUUUAUGUUCAUAUUCUUUUGGUUUUGGUUCAGAUUUAUUUGAUGGGUUCUUAUUGAUACUAGUGUUUAGGUUAGUCUUUCUCAGAAAUGGUGACUUUCAGGUUUCAUCAGUACCAGGUUGUGGGAAGGGCUCUCCCUACUGAGUCAAAUGACCAUCCUAAGAUUUACAAGAUGAAGCUUUGGGCCACCAAUGAAGUCCGUGCCAAGUCCAAGUUUUGUUUCUGCUUAGGUAUUUUCUGAGGAAGUUAAUGAAGGUGAAGAAGACCAAUGGACAAGUUCUUGCUAUCAAUGAGUACUUGAUGAAGGUGGAAUAAUUCAAGUGGAUUAUCAUGUUGGAUUCAACAGUUUCUACCUCUGCAUAAUUACAGUAGCACGCUGAUGUUAGUGAUGCAAGUUGGUGGCCAACCUGGAGACUCUUCUAUAAGCAAUUUUAUUUUUAACACAUGUAUUAAAUAUUUAGGUUAAUAUACCAAUAAUAAGAUUUUAUCAAAUAGUAAUUACAUUA